rnacentral:rRNA from 1 species
CGACGGGCCCGCACAAGCGGCGGAGCAUGCGGAUUAAUUCGAUGCAACGCGAAGAACCUUACCUGGGUUUGACAUAGUGCCGGAAACAUCUAGAGAUAGGUGCCCCCUUUUUGGGUCGGUUUUACAGGUGGUGCAUGGCUGUCGUCAGCUCGUGUCGUGAGAUGUUGGGUUAAGUCCCGCAACGAGCGCAACCCUCGUCCUAUGUUGCCAGCGGGUCAUGCCGGGGACUCAUAGGAGACCGCCGGGGUCAACUCGGAGGAAGGUGGGAUGACGUCAAGUCAUCAUGCCCCUUAUGUCCAGGGCUUCACGCAUGCUACAAUGGCCGGUACAAAGAGUUGCGAGCCUGUGAGGGUGAGCGAAUCUCAAAAAGCCGGUCUCAGUUCGGAUUGGGGUCUGCAACUCGACCCCAUGAAGUCGGAGUCGCUAGUAAUCGCAGAUCAGCAACGCUGCGGUGAAUACGUUCCCGGGCCUU